UCCCACCAAAAAAUAAGAGCCACAAGGAUUAUUCCUCAGGCUAUUUCUUUCGACAUCGAGCAUGGGCUUACGACAAGAGCAACGCAGGAUUUUGUCAGCGGUCUUUUUCCUCUUCAAGGAUUUUUAUAGAAAUUCCUCUGCAUUGAAAUCACAUGAGACAUUCUAUAAAAAUAAAAUAGAUUAUGUUCCACCCCAUUCUGAAUCAAGCUCUUUGAGAGUCACUGCAGUGCAGAGUAUGGUAUGUGGUAUCCACUUAGUCAGUAUACAAUGUCAAUGAUUUGAGUUCUGGUAAGCGUCAUGUGCUAAGACAGGCAGAAUGCUUGGUCUAAACUCUAAAUAACUUCAGAUAGAAUAUCUAAUGCCACAUACGUAAAUAAAUAACUUGUGUAGUAUACAGAUUGUGGGGUAGCCUCUUGAAGAAAAUUAGAAAAACCGCGAACAUGCAUAGAUUGUAGAAUGAUGCAGCAGUUUUUACAGAAGAAUCCGUGGGCAGAAUUUCUAGGGGACAAUUUUAUGUAUGCUGUCAGGAAAAUAUAAGAAUGUGACAGUAGUAUUUCUGGGUACUUGUUACAGCAAUAUCUUGUGGUUAUAUUUAUACAUCCCUGCACUAACAGCAAUUUUAUAAGAGCGAAAUGAUGUUCAUUUCUUCUUCACAGGGGCAAGGAUAGGAUAAGUGUUGGGAAACAAAUAAACAUCAUGUGGAAGAUUCUGAUCCAUCGACAUUUGCCGAAGUGUGGCUGGUUCUUAUAGGUCCUUCUCUGAUCCUUCACUCGUGAUGUUGCCGGUAAUUGAUUGCAACCACAUGGUGACUAUUCUUC
rnacentral:lncRNA from 1 species